rnacentral:rRNA from 1 species
GAACGCUGGCGGCGUGCUUAACAUCAUGCAAGUCCGAACGGAAAGGCCUUUUCGGAGGUGCUCGAGUGGCGAACGGGUGAGUAACACGUGGGUGAUCUGCCCUGCACUCUGGGAUAAGCCUGGGAAACUGGGUCUAAUACCGGAUAGGACCGCACUUUAGUGUGUGUGGUGGAAAGUUUUUUCGGUGUAGGAUGAGCCCGCGGCCUAUCAGCUUGUUGGUGGGGUAAUGGCCUACCAAGGCGGCGACGGGUAGCCGGACUGAGAGGUUGGUCGGCCACAUUGGGACUGAGAUACUGCCCAGACUCCUACGGGAGGCAGCAGUGGGGAAUGUUGCACAAUGGGCGCAAGCCUGAUGCAGCGACGCCGCGUGGGGGAUGACGGCCUUCGGGUUGUAAACUCCUUUCGCCAGGGACGAAGCGUUUUGUGACGGUACCUGGAGAAGAAGCACCGGCUAACUACGUGCCAGCAGCCGCGGUAAUACGUAGGGUGCAAGCGUUGUCCGGAAUUACUGGGCGUAAAGAGCUCGUAGGUGGUUUGUCACGUCGUCUGUGAAAUUCCACAGCUUAACUGCGGGCGUGCAGGCGAUACGGGCUGACUUGAGUACUGUAGGGGUAACUGGAAUUCCUGGUGUAGCGGUGAAAUGCGCAGAUAUCAGGAGGAACACCGAUGGCGAAGGCAGGUUACUGGGCAGUUACUGACGCUGAGGAGCGAAAGCAUGGGUAGCAAACAGGAUUAGAUACCCUGGUAGUCCAUGCCGUAAACGGUGGGCGCUAGGUGUAGGGGCCUUUUGGGGUUUCUGUGCCGUAGCUAACGCAUUAAGCGCCCCGCCUGGGGAGUACGGCCGCAAGGCUA